ensembl:lncRNA
GAUCCCCUGGAGGAAGGCAUGGCAACCCACUCCAGUAUCCUUGCCUGGAGGAUCUCAUGGACAGAGGAGCCUGGUGGGCUACAGUCUGUAAGGACACGACUGAACAACUUAGGACAUCAGUAUCCUAUCAACUGCGUCAGUUUGGAUUUCAUUUCUCUUGCAGAUGUUCUUCUCACAGAGAGUAAACGUCUAUUCUUUCUUCAUUUCAAAUCUACGGAAUCAGUUUCUCUUACAGUCUAUGGAUUCUUUUUUUUUUUUUUUUUUAAAUCACAGAUGGCACCUCUUUUAGUUUCUGAGUAUUUAUCAUUCCCCUAUUUCUGUUGCUUAAAGGACUUUUAAGGAAUCUUAGGUCUUCUCUCUUUUCUCUAUAUUCAAAAGUUUUGGUACACUACAAAUGUAGUCACAUUUAUAAAAAAUUUCAAACAACCGUUUAAGUUAGAAAGUCCUCCCGCAACCUUGAUCCCUUCCCCUUGCACAUUCUCCAGAAAUAACCACUGUUAAUAUAGUGAUAUAUAUCCCUCUAGAUAUUUUCAAAUUAUCUUUCUUUCAAAAUGCGCUUUAGUUUUUACUCUUUUAUUCGAGAUUAUGCAUUCUAUAAGCCUAUUUUGGUUAACCUGGAUAAUUAUUCAUCUUUGUAUGAUAUUGCGCUCUUGUCUUGAUUUCUUCUAUACUAAACACUGUCUUCUUGGUAGCACGUCACUCCUUCCUCUUUUCUGUAACCUACUCUUCCCACUCCUCCAACUCUCUGGCUCACACAGUCAUCACGUUGUGACACAUCCUACCCCUUCCUCUAGGCAGAGUUGACUGGCCCAAGAGUGACUUUAUAACCCAAGUUAGAAUACCCCCGCACUGCUGAACUUUGUUUGAUUGUCAAAUGUGGGCACCUGACUUAAAGCUUACAAGCUUUCACACAGCAAAGGAUACCAUUUUAAAAACUGAAAGACAACCUAUGGAAUGGGAGAAAAUAUUUGCAAAUUAUGUGACUGACAAGGGCUUAGUCUCCAAAAUAUAAAAACAGCUCAUAUAACUCAACAAAAAAACAACCAACUCAAGCAAAAAAAUGAGCUGAAGACCUUAAAAGACAUUUCUCCAAAGAAGACCUGCAGAUGGCCAGUAGGCACAUGAAAAGAUGAUCAACAUCACUAAUUAUUAGAGAAAUGCAAAUCAAAACUAUAAUGAGGUACCAUCUCAUACCAGUCAGAAUGGCCAUCAUCAAAAAGUAUAUAAAUAACAAAUGCUGCAAAGGGUGUGGAGAAAUGGGAACUCUGUUGGUGGGAAUGUAAAUUUGUGCAGCCACGAUAGAAAACAGUAUGGAGGUUCCUUAGAAAACUAAAAAUAAAGAAUUCCCUGGUAGUCCAGUGGUUAAGAUUCCAGGCUUUCACUGCCAAGAGCAUGGGUUAGAUCCCGAUUGGGGAACUAAGAUCCUGCAAGCCAAAGAUUGUGGCAAGAAGGAAAGGAAGGGAGGAAGAAAGAAAACUAAAAUAGAAUUACCAUGUGAUCCAGCAAUCCCACUCUGAGGCAUAUAUUUGAACAAAACUCUAAUUCAAAGAGACACAUACACCCAUAUGUUCAUAGCAGCAUUGUUCACAACAGCCAAAACAUGAAGACAGCCUAAACGUCCACUGAUAGAUUAAUGGAUAAAGAAGAUGUGGACAUACAUAUAAUGGAACACUACUCAGCCAUAAAAAAGAAUGAAAUAGUGCCAUUUGCAGCAACAUGGAUGCAACUAGAGGUUAUCAUACUCUGUGAAGUCAUAAGUGUUAGUUGCUCAGUUGUGUCCUACUCUUUGCAACCCCAUGUAGCCCAUCAGGCUCCACUGUCUAUGGGAUUCUCCAGACAAGAAUACUGGAGUUGGAUGCCAUGCCCUUCUCUAGGGGAUCUUCCUGACUCAGGGAUCAAACCUGGGUCUCCUGCAUUGCAGGCAGAUUCUUUACUGUCUGAGCCACCAGGGAAGUCAUAAAGAGAAAAGCAAAUACCAUGUGGUAUCACUUAUAAAGAGAAUCUGAAGUGGCACAAAUGAACCCAUUUAUUAGAUAGACGUAUACUCACAGACAUAGAGAUCAGACUUGUGAUUGCCAGAGUGAUGGGGGGUAGGGAGAAGGAUGGACUGGGAGUUUGGAGUUGGUAUAAAUGCAAACUGUUACAUUUAGAAUGGAUAAAUGUAACAACAAAGUUCUACUGUACUGUAAAUAGAGGGGAACUAUAUUCAGUCUCCUGGGAUAAACCAUAAUGGAAAAGAAUAUUUUUUUAAAUGUAUAUAUGUGUAUAACUGAGUCACUUUGCUGUACAACAGAGAUUGGCACAACAUUGUAAGUCAACUAUACUUCAAAUUUAAAAAAAAAUUUGUGUGCCCCUUGACUAGGCUAAAGAAUUCCUAGAUAGCUGGUAAAACAUUAUUUCUAGAAAUGUCUGUGAGGAUGUUUCUAGAAGAGAUUAGUGUUUGAAUGGUAUACCCAUUUAUGUGGGUGGGCGUCAUCCAAUCUGCUCAGGGGCUGAAUAGAACAAAAAAGUGGAGGAAGGGUGAAUUUGCUCUUUAUUUGCUUUGAGACAUCCAUCUUCUCCAGCCUUUGCACUAGGACCCAGACUUAACAUCAACUUCUCAAUUCUCGGACCUUUGGACGUGGACUGGAACACACAACAUUUGCUGCUCUGGUUCUUAGGCCUUCAGAGUAAGAGUGAAUUACUCCAGUGGCUUUCCUAAUUUUUCAGCUUGCAGACCACAGAUUGUGGAUCUUCUUGGCCUACAUAACUGUGUGAGCUGAUUCCUAUUAUAUAUAUAUAUAUAUAUAUAUGUAUGUAUAUGUAUAUAUAUAUAUAUAUAUAUAUAUAAAUCCCACUCCAAUAUUCUUGCCUGGAGAAUUCCCAUGGACAGAGGAGCCUGGCCGGCUAUGGUCCAUAGAAUUGCAGAGUCAGACAUGACUGAAGUGACUGAGUAUGUAUAUAUAUUCCUGUUUGUAUCUCCUAUUGAUUCUAUUUCUCUGGAGAACCCUGACUAAUAAUCACAUAAUGUCACUUAGUGGGAAGGUCUGGCCUUCCGGGGUCCAGAAUUUGGUGUUGAGGAUUGGAGACUAUAAGAUCAGUUUGUUUAAAUGCUGAAUUUUUACCAAGCAAAAAUAGCAGGGACAUUGGAAAUAACAUUUCAGGAUUUUAGCAUUUCUAAAUAUAGAUGUAAGUAAGGUAUCUAUCUAAGUAUAAUAACAUUCAGCCACAUUCUCAAACUGUAUUAUCCUAAAUGGCAAUAGUAAUCCUUCAGGUCAUGACAUGGAUUAUUUACAAGCAAUUUCUAAAAAAUAUGUAAAUCACAACUUAAGUUUCCAGAUGUGUCAUUUUGCAAGUUAAUACUUUUCAUCUUCAUUGACAUAUUCAGCUUAAUAUAUGUACUCAGAGUGUUAUGACAAAUUAUGCCAUUAUAUCUUUUCUAAUUCAUUCAUAAAUUAUAACAAAUUAUAAACUUCUCCAAAUCAAUUCAAAUGCUAGUACAUGUUCUUUUAAGUUUUUUAAAAAUAUGCUAAAUAUAGGUGUUCUUCUAUACCUGUGUUUGAAACUAUAAUUAUUCAAAAUUUCGAACUGUCAUCUAUGUAUAUUGAUUGUUACUGGUUGGGUUCCCUGGGAAGCAGACUCUGAUACAGAGCUUGCGGCAACAAGCCAUUCAUUAAGUUGAACCUUGGUGGCUCACCAUUAUGUUGACAGCAGUUUAACCCUUGUGCUGCUUAGAUCCACUUCUUAUACAUUCUGGAACACCUCCUCCCGGAUCCAGUAGACCUAUUUUUUAGGAGAAAUUUAGAAGUGGAAAGAAUUACAGCCCUGAUGUCAGGGCCGUGACUCAGUUCAUCUUGCCUCUCCUCCACUAUCUGCUGAAGAUUCUUGUCAUUCUCUGAGAAUACCUUUGCUGGUCUCGGCAGUUUGCCUCCUGGUUUGGCUCAGGUCCUUAUACUACAAGUCUGAUUCCCAGGGAACCGCAUCUUCUUUGGUACAUAAUAAUUUGUAUACUUGUCCAUUUGCCAUCACAACUGGGCAGGAUGUAUCAAGAGGUACCCAAGUGGAUUUUCUGGGCACCAAGCAUAUCUGUCCUCCCGGUUGGUCAUCAGAGUCAGUGAUUUCUGACACAAUGAUGAUUCCUCUCUUUGUCUACUAAGUUGGAUUUUGCCGAUGAUGGAGAAGAAACUGGCAACCCACUCCAGUGUUCUUGCCUGGAGAAUCCCAGGGACGGCAGAGCCUGGUGGGCUGCCAUCUGUGGGGUCGCACAGAGUUGGAUACGACUGAAGCGACUUAGCAGCAGCAGCAGCAGAUGGAUCAGCCUUGAAACAACUGGGAUCUUAGCUACCUUGCCCAGGGAUGGAACCCACACUGUCCUGCAUUGGAAGGGGAAGACCUAACCACUGGACUGCCAGGGAAGUAAUAAAAUAACUUUUUAAAUUCCAGUUUUACUCCAAAAUUCCUUAAUUUUUUUUUUCCUUGGCCAUGUGUCUUCAGGGCCCUUAGUUCCUCAACCAGAAAUCAAACCUGGGCCUUUGGCAGUGGAAGCAGGAGUCCUGACCACUGGAAAGCCAGGGAAUUCCUUCCUUAAACAUUUUGAAGGACAAAAGUUUAAUUUAUAGAUUCAAGCCAAUUUAAGCUGUUGUCCCAUCCCAGCUUCAAAUUAAAAAGCAAGUAGAAACAUUCCCCUCUGGAAGUAGCUGUGAUUUUUUUUUUAAUGAAGCUAAGCACCAGACGUAGACCUACAAGACCUUCUAGAACUAAGACCAAAAAAAAAGAUGUCAUGUUCAUUAUAGGGACUGAAAUUCCAAAGUAAAAGUCAAGAGAUAUCUCGAGUAACAGGCAAGCUUGGCUUUGGAGUACAAAAUGAAGCAGGGCAAAGGCUAACAGUUUCGCCAAGAGAACGCACUGGUCAUAGCAAACACUCUCAUCCAAUAACACAAGAGUUGACUCUACACAUGGACAACACCAUACGGUCAAUACUGAAAUCAUAUCGAUUAUAUCCUUAGCAGCCGAAAAUGGAGACACUAUAUACAGUCAGCAAAAACAAGACUGGGAGUUGACUGUGGCUCAGAUCAUGAACUCCUUAUACAAAAUUCAGACUUAAAUUGAAGAAAGUAGGAAAAUCCCCUAGGCCAUUUGGGUAUGACCUAAAUAAAACCCCUUACGAUUAUGCAGUGGAGGUGACAAAUAGAUUCAAGGGAUUCGAUCUGAUAGAGUGCCUGAAGGAACUAUGGACAGAGGUUCACAACAUUGUACAGGAGGUGGUGAUCAAAACCAUUCCCAAGAAAAAGGAAUGCAAAAAGGCAAGAUGGUUAUCUGAGGAGGCCUUACAAAUAGCUGAGAAAAGAAGAGAUGCUAAAGGCAAAGGAGAAAAGGAAAGAUAGAUAUACCCAUUUGAAUGCAGAGUUCCAAAGAAUAGCAAGAAAAGAUAAGAAAGACUUCCUAAGUGAACAAUGCAAAGAAAUGGAAGAAAACAGUAGAAUGGGAAAGACUAGAGAACUUUUCACAGAGAAUGAAAUGGCAGCCCACUCCAGUGUUCUGGCCUGGAGAAUCCCAGGGAUGGGGGGGCCUGGUGGGCUGCCAUCUAUGGGGUUGCACACAGUCGGACACGACUGACAUGACUUAGCAGCAGCAGCAGAGAACUUCUCAAGAAAAUUAGAGAUACCAAUGGAGCAUUUCAUGCAAAGAUUGGCACAAUAAAGGACAGAAAUGGUAUAAACCUAACAGAAGCAGAAAAUACUAAGAAAAGGUGGCAAGAAUACACAGAAGAACUAUUUAGAAAGAAGUCUUAGUGACCUGGAUAACCAUGAUGGUGUGAUCACUCACCUAGAGCAGACAUCCUGGAAUGCGAGGUCAAGUGGGCCUUAGGAAGCAUCACUAGGAACAAAGCUAGUGGAGGUGAUGGAAUUCCAGCUGAGCUAUUUCAGAUCCUAAAAGAUGGUGCUUUUGAAGUGUUGCGCUCAAAAUGCCAGCAAUUUGAAAAACUCAUCAGUGACCACAGGACUGAGAAAGGUGUUUUCAUUCCAAUCCCAAAGAAUGGCAGUGCCAAAGGAUGUUCAAACUACUGCACAGUUGCACUCAUUUCACAUGCUAGCAAGGUAAUGCUCAAAAUCCUUCAAGCUAAGCUUCAACAGUACAUGAACAAAGAACUUCCAGAUGUGCAAUUUGGAUUUAGAAAAGGCAGAGGAGCCAGAGAUCAAAUUGCCAUCAUCUGUUGGAUCAUAGAAAAAGCAAGGGAAUUUCAGAAAAAUAUCUACUUCUGUUUCACUGACUAUGCUAAAGCCUUUGACUGUGUGGAUCAUAACAAACUAGGGGAAAUUCUUAAAGAGAUGGGAAUACCAGACUACCUUACCUGCCUCCUGAGAAAUCUGUAUUCAGGUCAAGAAGCAGCAGUUAGAACUGGACAUGGAACAACAGACUGGUUCCAAAUUGGGAAAGGAGUACAUUAAGGUUAUAUAUUGCCACCCUGCUUAUUUAACUUAUAUGCAGAGUACCUCAUGCAAAAUGCUGGGCUGGAUGAAGCUCAAGCUGGAAUCAAGAUUGCUGUGAGAAAUAUCAAUAACCUUGGAUAUGCCACCACCCUAAUGGCAGAAGGUGAAGAGGAACUAAAGAGCCUCUUGAUGAAGGUGAAAGAGCAGAGUGAAAAAGCUGACUUUAAAGUCACUAUUCAAAAAACUAGAUCAUGGCAUCAAGUCCUGUCACUUCAUGACAAAUCAAUGGGGAAAUGAUGGAAACAGUGAUAGACUAUAUUUUAUUGGGCUCCACAAUCACUGCAGAUGGAGACUGCAGCCCUGACAUUAAAAGAUGCUUGCUCCUUGAAGGAAAAGCUAUGGAAAACCUAGACAGCAUAUUAAAAAGCAGAGACAUCCCUUUGCCCACAAAGAUCUACAUAAGUCAAAGCUGUGGUUUUUCCAGUAGUCAUGUAUGAAUGUGAGAACUGGACUAUAAAGAAGGCAGAGCGCCAAAGAAUUAAUGCUUUUGAACUGUGGUGUUGAAAAAGACUCUUGAGAGUCCUUUGGAUGGCAAGGAGAUCAAAUCAGUCAAUAUUACAGGAAAUCAACCCUGAAUAUUCAUUGGAAGGACUGAAGCUGAAGCUCCAAUACUUUGGCCACCUGAUGUAAAGAAAGAGCCGACUCAUUUAAAAAGACCCUGAUGCUGGGAAAAAUGGAAGGCAGGAGGAGAAAGGGAGGACAUAGGAUGAGAUGGUUGGAUGGCAUCACCAACUCAAUGGACAUGAGUUUGAGCAAACUCUAAGAGACAGUGAAGGACAGGGAAGCCUAGGAGCCCAUGGACUCACUGCAAAAAGUCGGACAUGAUUUAGCAACUGAGCAACAAUGUCUUCUAUCAGAUAUGUGAUUUAAUCUCCCAAAAUAAUGAUACAGUUAAGUUGUAGUGUGGUACAGUUGACAUAUAAUGUAACAUUGCUUUUUAAGACAAAAAAAAUGUUAUUGAGUCACAUUUAAAUGUUUUCACUCAAAUAUUUUCAGUCAAGUACUAUUGAUUGAUUUGCUCUUGAAGUAUUAAUUACAUUUAGCUAAUCUUUUUUUGUUACCUAACAAAACAGUAGUUCCCCUUUAGUUUUUCAGUUUCAGCAAUGACUGCU